rnacentral:lncRNA from 1 species
AUGGUGAUGGUAGGCAGGAAUGAGCUACCAGGGUUGGAGGGGAGCUUCUCCAACCACCUUUUUGCUGCUGGAGAAAAGCCUUUAUCUGAUGUGCUAGAUAAUGGCCACAGCUGGAGAAGACACAUCAGAUGGUUGAGACCAGAGGGCAGGAAUGAUGCCGAGAUGUCUAUCCUUGGAUGCUCAAAUUGUAGGUUUUGUCUGCGGAAACUGUCAACCACAUCAGCGGACGUACAAGGUGCUUUUCCCUGAGGUUUGACUGGAAGGACCAGGUGGUUUUAUGCUUGCUCUUUUUGCAGCUGGAAGACGGCUCAGCUUGUCAGUUGACCAGGAGGAAGCUUCAGCUGGACUUCCUAGCCCGCACACCGCACACCACGAGAACCCUCCCUUAAUUUUCCGAAGUCAUACAAGAGCUCCAGCCAGCGUCACGUUGGCUGCACGGAAACUGUGACACUCUCGAAACUUCGGACGGACCCUUUGAGUAAGGCACCAGCUGUCUGACACGACAGAUCUGCAUUGCAGAAGGCAGAUGUGGCAAAGAGCCUCGUAGGUAUGCACCUGCCCUCCCUGCAGCACUCACGGAGCGUGCAAUUACACUGCGGAGGUGUAGUGUAACCUCUGUUAUGCAAAGCACCUCUUGCACGAUGGUUAUCAUUCGUAAGCCUGUGCGCUAUAAAUCAUGCACUGUAAUACGCUUUCUCAUUCAAAUAACUUACUAAUUUUAUAAUUUACUGUUGCUGCAUGGUGUUGCAGGGAAACUUAACAUGACACAUGAAAAUGCCAGGAAAUGGAUGACAGAAUGGGAUUACUUGGCAUGGCGCAAGGGCCCUGCCUUGACAGUUUUGUGAUCUCUAGGUUAAGGAAAGGGUGUUUGAUUUUUAACUUAAUUCCUUUGAGAAUUUGGCUUUUUAGGCCUUCUUGGGGGAAAAAAAAAGUGGCCACAGCAUAAGUCUUCAUGAACUAAGCAGGUUCAGGACAGGAUUUAGGGUUAUCCAUGGGAGUUACAGAUGGAGCAAGGUAACUGAAGCUGCUGUCUCCUGCUGGCUUUCUGUCAGCUGAAAACUGACCCAGCUACUCAGCAGCACAGAAGUCUCCAGGUGCAGAGAGGAGAUGGGCUUAGACAGUGCUAUUCACACAGCUAUCUAGAAAUUCAUCUCAAAUUGAAGGUACUCCUAUCAACAAAGCAAGCUAAGAUGACACAUGGAGAGUCACAGCCUGAGUCAUGCUGCCAGAUCAUCCCUGUGAAGCUGAUGGAAAUGCUGCUUGUCACUGCAGACACAGUGCACUGGUACUGGGGAUGCUCCUGACAAACUGCACAACCUUAUCUUGGCUGUGGGUACUGAUAUGACCAGCAGUAUUAUGAUUUCACUGCAGGAAAGUACCCUGGUGAUCCUCAAACUUGUUCACUGGGGGAUUCCCAACCUCUCCCUAGUACCUUUCACACGCAUGUUGGCAUAUUUUUGCUAGCUGUACAGCUGUCAAAGCUGUCUUUCUUCCAGCUGUUCCACUAGUCACAGGGUGCAGGAUGAUUACAGAGUAUUGGUACGGAGUCUGUGUAUGAGCUGUCCCAACCAUACUGACAGCUCCAUGAAGUGGCUCCAACCAUCUUUUCACUCUUUUCCCUGUCUCCAGUUACCGCAGUGGUGGGUGGUGAGGCACCGGGGGGUGAGGCACUGGCACAGGUUGCCGAGAGAAGCUGUGGAGGCCCUGGCAGUGUUCAAGGACAGGGUGGAUGGGGCUUUGGGUGUCUCUCUUUAAUCUAGAGAUGUCCCUGUCCAUGGCAGGGGGGUGGAACUAGGCGUCCUUUAAGGUCCCUUCCAACUGAAACCCUUCUGUGAUUCUCAGUGUAAUGCUUCAACAGGAAGCCAGGCAACACGACUUUCAUUAAUUUCUGAAAUAUAAAAAAAUCUGCCUUUACGCACAGCAGCCAAGCACAAAAUCGUGAACACCCUUGGAAGGUCUCAGUAUACCAAAUCACCCAAUCAUGAGCAGAAACCUGACUGCACGCUUGGCAGUGAUUAUGACACUUUUGAUCUACGAUCUGGAAAGCAGUUCGUGAUGAAGUAACUCAUUCAAGGUCAGGCCUGGAGCCAGUGGUAAGGACUGGCAUCAGAGGUGUGAAGACGGCACUUUACAGAUGAAACAAAGCACACUGCAUGUUUUCAGUUUUACCCCUCACUCCUGAGCAAAUAACAUCGUCAGAAUUGCCAGUCCCUCAGACUACAAUUGGCACAUGUUAAGAAAAUCUUGUGGGUACCAACAGUAACACAUACAUCAGAAGAACCCACUGGACAUUUUCCUCAAAUUAGUCUGUUCUUCUGUGAGGUACUUACAGAGUUUAUUUCCUAUAUAUUAGUAACUUUUUUUUUUUUUUUUUUUCAAAAUUGAACAAAUCGAACCCUUUGCCUUUAGAUUUUACAGACCAUCAUAAACUGGAGUCACUGGUGUUUACCAAGAUUUGUUAAAGAUCACAGUUCGGAAAAUGUUUUACUUAACAUUUACAGUUUCAGUGAUACUACACUUCAGCAAACAAUGGAGGGCAGUUUUUCAGUAGUUAAUCUUUUAUGGUACUUUCAUGUCAGUCCAAAACAAAGCCACCCUCUGUGCUCGGUCAGGUGUGGAACAAGAAACCAAACAGAUGACUAACUAAAGUCAGAAGAAAGUUACAGCAAAAAUGCCCACAGACCCAUAGAUAUUUUGAAACGUGAGAUUCCUGGGCUAAACACUGUUAUAUUCAGCCCAGUCUCACACCUGCUCCAGCAGUGACCAGCAUUCAUUGUUGCUGAGGAGGGAAUAAACACCUGGCUGGUGUGGAAACGCUUAAUGGG